AUGCGUGCCGCCGUGGCGUUCCUCCUCGCCGCCGUCCUCUGCUUCGGCGGGGGCCGUGCGGCGUCCGCGUCGCCAGACUUCGACUACCCGGCGGCGUUCAACUUCGGGGACUCCAACUCCGACACGGGCGGCCGCAUCGCCGCGGGCUUCGAGCCCAUGCCCCCGCCCUACGGCUCCACCUUCUUCGGCGCCCCCUCCGGCCGCUUCUCCGACGGCCGCCUCAUCCUCGACUUCCUCAUGGAUGCAAUGGAUAUGCCAUUCCUCAAUGCAUACUUGGAUUCUCUUGGUGCGCCUAACUUCCGGGCAGGUGUUAAUUUUGCUCAAGCUGGCUGUUCGAUUACUCCAGCAAGUGCAACAUCUGUCAGCCCGUUUUCAUUUGGUCUUCAGAUUAAGCAAUUCUUUGCAUUCAAGGAAAAAGUCACCAGGCUGCUCUCUCAAGGAGAUAGGUACCGAAGGUAUAUUCCUCAGUUGGAUUACUUUUCGAAGGGACUCUACAUGUUUGAUAUAGGUCAAAAUGACCUUGCUGGUCAAUUCUACUCGAGAACAGAGGACCAAGUCAUUGCAUCCAUUCCGACUAUCUUGUUGGAAUUUGAAACUGGGCUCAAGACACUAUACGAUCAGGGUGCCAGGAAGUUCUGGAUUCACAACACAGGUCCUCUUGGCUGCUUACCUCAAAACAUAGCUCUUUUUGGCAAAGACCCAACACAACUGGAUGAACUUCAUUGUGUAGCAAAGCACAAUCGUGCUGCGAAGAUUUUCAACUUACAGCUGCAUGCACUUUGCACAAAGUUGAGAGGCCAGUUUGCUGGAGCUAAUAUCACUUACAUCGACAUCUACUCCAUCAAAUAUGCCCUGAUUGGCAAUUACUCUCGAUAUGGAUUUGAAAGUCCCACCCAAGCAUGCUGUGGAUACGGAGGGCCACCCCUGAACUAUGAUGGCAGAGUGCCGUGUGGACAGACGAAAUCUGUGAACGGUAAUCUCGUAACCGCGAAAGGAUGCAGUGACAGCACUGAGUAUGUCAAUUGGGAUGGAAUACAUUACACGGAAGCUGCAAAUUUCCACGUUACAUCGCAGAUUCUGACCGGGAAGUACUCAGAUCCUCCGUUCGUCGACAAGAUGCCAUUCCGUAUAAAACCGAGGUUCUAA
rnacentral:rRNA from 1 species